GAUGAACGCUGGCGGCGUGCCUAAUACAUGCCAGUCGAGCGAACGGACGAGAAGCUUGCUUCUCUUAUGUUAGCGGCGGACGGGUGAGUAACACGUGGAUAACCUACCUAUAAGACGGGGAUAACUUCGGGAAACCGGAGCUAAUACCGGAUAAUAUUUUUAACCACAUGGUUCAAAAGUGAAAGACGGUCUUGCUUUCACUUAUAGAUGUAUCCCCGCUGCAUUACCUAGUUGUUAAGGUAAGGGCUUACCAAGGCAACGUUGAAUACCCGACCGGAGAGGGGGACCGGCCACACUGGAACGGAGCCACGGUCCAGACCCCUACGGGAGCAAGAGGUGGGGAAUCUUCCGCAAUGGGCGAAGGCUUGACGGAGAAACGCCGCGUGAGUGAUGAAGGUCUUCGGAUCUUAAAACUUUGUUAUUAGGGAAGAACAUAUGUGUAAGUAAAUGUGCACAACUUGACGGUAACUAAUCAGAAAGCCACGGCUAACUACGUG
rnacentral:rRNA from 1 species